rnacentral:lncRNA from 1 species
AUCACCAACCCUAAAGGGGGCAGCAGAUGUCCAUCUCUAGCUAAGUGUUACAGGAGGCCAAAGAGAGCUCAGAGGAAGAUCUGAGAAUCUUCAGGUUUGUUUGGGGGCUUAUGGAAAGGACUUGCUUUGGCCAGUAGAAUGUUUAUUAUUCAUGCAGAAUCUUGAAAAAACUUUUUGCAUGAGUUCAUCUCCUCUUUUGGAAUCCUGCUACCUGGAGUACAAGCUAAGGUUAAACUGCCUGAGGAAGGAACAACAGGAGGAAGGAAACAUGUCCCAGUCAACCAGCCUCCUGUUAGCUAAUUUUCAAACAUGAGGGAACCCAACCAAGAUCAGCAGAAACACACAGCUGAAGCUGACUGCAGACACAUGGUAAGUCCAGCUGGGCCUGGCCUAAAUCAGAAUUUCUGUCAUCCCACAGAUUCAUGAGAAAUAAUAAUAAAUGUUGAUUGUUGUAUAACACUGAGGUUUUAUGGUUGUUGGUUAGGCAGAAUUAAUGUGACAUCCGAUAACUGGUACAACAGUCCACGGAAAGUUGUCAGUAAAUGUUAGCUAUGUUAUCUGGUUGAAGACACUCAUUUUUUAUUGACUCUAAGGUGCUUAGAUGGUGAUGCCUUCAUGAUUCAUCCAGGGGCUGUCUAUAGAAGGUUUUCGCUCAAAGCACUGUACUUGCCACCUGGUUGACAUUGACUAUUAUAAUGCAUCAAUUCUAAGAUGCAUCAUGAAUUUUGAAGAUGUUAAAAAUGCAAAAAUUCUGCUUAUUAUUAAAAUGUUGCCAAGACUCCUCAGGAUAGUGAUACUUCUGAGUGUAGCUGAAGCCCAGCUCUUCGGAGCUAGAGUGUGUUGUAAAAGUGGAGGUUGUCAGCAUGUGCAAUAUGGAGUCAGAAUUUCAGGUUCCUAGAGAACAGGGGCACCUGGAGAGUGUGUGGCAAAAGCAGGUCAUAAAGCAUGGCAGCACUGUCCCCUUUGACCUCUUAGGUGACCAAGCAAGGAGCAGUUUGGGUGACUCAUGCAUGUUCUCCAGGUUGCCUAAUCAUUACAAGGACAAAGGCUUCAGAAACAAAGCUUUCUUUCACACUUAUGGUUUGAAGGUAUAAAAUAUGUCCCCUCAGGUCUCCUUAUGCUGAGUUAGGAUAGUGUUUAAUUAAGCUGCCUAUAAAUGAUGUUGGGACAGCCAGGGAGAGUGUAAAUAUUACAAUUAAAGGCACUCAUUUUACAUUUUGCUUUUGAUGUUACCCAAGGGUUUGUAUGUUACACAGGGACUAAUAUUUUAUUCCAUUAUCUUAAUCUUUUAUAGUCUUUAGUAGAUUGGGGUAAAUGGAGUUAAAUUGAGCAUUUACACUUUUAAUGGAUGUUUACAAGCAUCACAGAUAAAAAUGAAUACUUGCAUUCCAUUGUUUUAUACUGUCUUAGCCCAAAACAUUCCAUGGUUUGAGUCCUACCCUUGACUAUGAAUCAUCACCUUCUGAAAAGAAAAUCAUAUUCUCCUUAAAAAAAUAAAAAACAAGAUUCUAUAGGAGUUCCCUGGUGACUCAGCAGAUUAAAGAUCUGGCAUUGUCACUGCUGUGGCUGUGCUUACAGCUGUGGCACAAGUUCAAUCCCUGGACUGGGAACUUCUACGUGCAAGACACACACACAAAAAGAUGCUAUAGACACCUUCUGUAGACUCUGAGGGUUACUGCAACAAUGGAUGUCCCAAAACUGUUUGAAAAACUGGUGGUACAACAGGAAUCUUGAUUGGUCCUUUCAGCAAAAGCCCUGAAGAAACUCAUUCAGAAUCCUCUUUCUGGAAACCCUCCUGCACUGGUGGUGGGAAUGUAAGCUGGUACAGUCACUAUGGAGGACAGUAUGGAGGUACCUUAGAAAUCUAUACAUAGAACUACCAUAUGAUCCAGCAAUCCCACUCUUGGGCAUAUAUCCAGACAAAACUUUCCUUUAAAAAGACACAUGCCCCCACAUGUUCAUUGCAGCUCUAUUUACAAUAGCCAAGACAUGGAAACAACCCAAAUGUCCAUCUACAGACAAUUGGAUUAGGAAGAUGUGGUAUAUACACACAAUGGAAUACUACUCAGCCAUAGAAAAAAUGACAUAAUGCCAUUUGUAGCAACAUGGAUGGAACUAGAGACUCUCAUACUGAGUGAAAUAAGUCAGAAAGAGAAAGACAAACACCAUAUGAUAUCACUUAUAUCUGGUAUCUAAUAUCCAGCACAAACGAACCUUUCCACAGUAAAGAAAAUCAUGGACUUGGAGAAUAGACUUGUGUUUGCCAAGGGGGAGGGAGUGGGAGAGAUUGGGAGCUUGGGGGUCAGUGGAUUCAAACUAUUGCUCAUGUAAUGGAUUUACAAUGAGAUCCUGCUGUAUAGUACUGAAAACUAUGUCUAGAUACUUAAUGCAGCACGACAAUGGGAGAAAAAAUUAUGUAUACAUGUAUGUGUAACUGGGUCCCCAUGCUGUACAGCAGAAAAAAAAAAAGUGUGUUGGGGGAAAU